rnacentral:rRNA from 1 species
ACUGAGGCAUGCUUAGUACGGCGAGUGAAGCGGCAAAAGCUCCAAAUUUGAAAUCCUGGCACCUUCGGUGUCCGAGUUGUAAUUUUGAAGAAGGUAACUUUGGAGUUGGCUCUUGUCUAUGUUCCUUGGAACAGGACGUCACAGAGGGUGAGAAUCCCGUGCGAUGAGAUGCCCAAUUCUAUGUAAAGUGCUUUCGAAGAGUCGAGUUGUUUGGGAAUGCAGCUCUAAGUGGGUGGUAAAUUCCAUCUAAAGCUAAAUAUUGGCGAGAGACCGAUAGCGAACAAGUACAGUGAUGGAAAGAUGAAAAGAACUUUGAAAAGAGAGUGAAAAAGUACGUGAAAUUGUUGAAAGGGAAGGGCUUGAGAUCAGACUUGGUAUUUUGCGAUCCUUUCCUUCUUGGUUGGGUUCCUCGCAGCUUACUGGGCCAGCAUCGGUUUGGAUGGUAGGAUAAUGACUAAGGAAUGUGGCUCUACUUCGGUGGAGUGUUAUAGCCUUGGUUGAUACUGCCUGUCUAGACCGAGGACUGCGUCUUUUGACUAGGAUGUUGGCAUAAUGAUCUUAAGCCACCCGUCUAAAAAAAGGGAAAAAAAAAAAAAUUAAAAUUAAAGAAA